AAGAUCACUUAAAUUGAAGGCAUAUUUUUGCGAUAGGCCUUCUAUUACACCCAACGAUAAAACUGUGGCUGCAUUAAAAAAUAAAUUGGGCUCAAAAAGUAAUUUUGUGCCCCCGGGCAAUUUCCAUGCAAUUGAGGCAUUUGAAACAGUGGUGACGUUGGAUGUUAAUAGAAUCUUACAGAAACAAAAUAAAAAAGAAAGAUGUAAUAUCUCUGCAAAUGAAAGAUUGGCUUUGAAAUCAUUAAAGGCUAAUUCGGAUGUAAUUAUAACAAAAGCCGACAAAGGUGGGGGCAUUGUAAUGCUUAAUACCGCUGACUACAAUAAGCAAGCAGAAAGCCAUUUGAAUAAUAAUAUGCUGUAUAAAAUGUUAGGAGGCGAUCCUACUUUGAAGUUUAAAAACGAGUUGAAUGUUUUUCUAAAUUCGGCGGUUUUGGAAGGUUUAAUUACUGAAGAUAUAUAUCGCUUACUAUUUAAUGCACAUCCUAACAUUCCAUAUGUGUAUUUCCUGCCUAAGAUCCAUAAAAGCCAAACAAACCCUCCUUACAGGCCUAUCGUUUCCAACGUGAACUCUAUAUGGCAACCCCUGGCCAUUUACAUCGAUAUGUUUUUGCAGGAAAUUCUUCCCACUUUAACCACAUGCUUAAUCGACACCACCGAUUUUUUGACUAGGCUAGAGAAGGUAGCAUUUCCAUCGAGUGAUUUCUUUUUCUGUUCUUUAGACGUAAAAGACCUUUUUACGUCUAUACCCCAUGAUGAAGGAAUAGAAUGCAUUCGUUCAUACCUGUCCCAGGGGAAAUUACCCAGCUAUAAAAUAAAUUUCAUCUGUGAUUUGUUGGAUAUUGUACUGAGAAAAAAUUACUUCCAAUUUAACCAGGAUUUUUACUUACAAUUGCAAGGCUGCGCCAUGGGUGCGAACAUGGCACCUGCCUAUGCCAACAUCUUCAUGGAUUAUUUUGAAAAAAGUUUUAUAUUUUGCAAUAAUGAGUACACACAGUACAUCCAUGAUUAUAUGCGCUACAUGGACGACACUUUUUUUCUUUGGUCAGGCAGCCGUGAAACCUUGGAGAAUUUUCUCAGAUAUCUCAAUGAAGUACAUGCUUCGAUUAAAUUCACCCUAGAAUUUAGCCCCAAAGACAUACACUUUUUGGAUGUGAAUAUUCAAUCUACAGGUGCAGCAUUUGUUACAAGCGUGUUCACUAAGCUCACGGACAGAAAUAAUCUAUUACCUAGUGAUAGUUUUCAUCCACCUGGCUUAGUAAAAGGUCUCCCAAAAAGCCAAUUUUUACGAGCAAGACGCAUUGCAUCUACGGAUGACCUAUACGAAGCUGAGGCAACUAAAAUGAUUAAAAAAUUUAAAGAAAAAGGACACAAUAUAGAAAGCCUACAAGAAAAAUAUGAGGAGGUACGUAGAAUCCCUAGGGAUAAACUACUAACCAAAAAAAAGCUUCCAUCUACAUCCACAACAUCACGAAUCCCUUUUGUUAGUUCUUAUGAUAAAAAUUCUAAGGCCAUUCGUAAUACUAUCUUAAAACAUUGGGAUAUACUAAAAAUGGAUGCAAAAUUUGGGCAUAUGUUCCAGGCUCCCCCUCUUUUUUCUUACAGAAGGGGUAAGAAUAUUGGACAACUAAUUAAACCUCAGAAACGUAAGCUACAGAUGGGUGAUUUAACGCACAAUAAAGGCACUUUUCCCUGCAGGAAUUGCGGACACUGUAACGGAAUAAUCCCUGGCAACACAGUUACACACCCGCAGCAGGGUACGAAACAUGAAAUCAAUGGAUUUUUCACAUGCGAUAGUUCAGACGUGAUUUACUGCAUUAAAUGUCCAUGCGGCCUAGCCUAUAUAGGGCAGACUUCGAGACCCAUAAAAACAAGGCUAAAUGAACAUAAAUCGACUAUCCGCAAUUAUCAACCCCAAAAAAGUGAAAAUGUCGAGCUAACAGCUUCAAGUAAAUAUAAGAAAGAAACAUGGCUUGCCAAACAUUUUUUCACAAACUGCCACAGAGUAGCACAACUCCGUUGGCAGGUUUUAGAGAAAAUAAGAAUACAACAAGGACAGGAUAAAAAGAGAAUUUUAUUACAGAGAGAAUGCUAUUGGAUCUGGUUACUCCAAACUAAAUAUCCAAAAGGGCUUAAUGAAGAGUUCAGUAUGGCUUGCUAUUUAUGAAUUUAUCUUUUUCUGGGUGUUCUAACUCUCUUUGUUUAAUUUUUCCAGAUAAGAAAACUAUGUGCAAAUUUCCUGAUGCAGGGACAGGUACUGCAACACUGUUGAAAUAUUUUCUUGCUACAUUAGAAAAUUGGGCUUAUAAGGUUUCCCACUGGACUUUGAACUUUUAUUAUACGGGAAAUGAACCAAAGCCUUGGGUUAAUUUCUUUUUCAUUUUUUUCUUUUUCAUUAUUCGUUUCAGAGAACUAUAAGACUUUUUUUAUAUGCUUUUUCAUUGUAUUUGCAUCACAGUAACUAAAUGCUAUUAGCUAAUUGCUGUUUAAACAAUUGUUUAAUUUCACUAAUUGAUUGCACCUGUCAAUUAACUGAUUGAAUCACCUAUAAAUGUACCACCUUACACAGAUCCUGUAUGCUUGACAAAGGGGCUUGCCCCGAAACGUUGCACUUCCGGUAAUAAAUCUUUGCAAGGUGUUCACCUGCAUUCACA